rnacentral:rRNA from 1 species
GACAGAGGGUGCAAACAUUGUUCGGAAUUACUGGGCGUAAAGCGAGUGUAGGCGGUCUGAUAAGUCGGGUGUGAAAGCCCCGGGCUCAACCCGGGAAGUGCACUCGAAACUGACAGGCUAGAGUAUCGGAGAGGUUGGUGGAAUUCUCGGUGUAGAGGUGAAAUUCGUAGAUAUCGAGAGGAACACCGGUGGCGAAGGCGGCCAACUGGACGAAUACUGACGCUGAGACUCGAAAGCGUGGGGAGCAAACAGG